UUUCCGUAGGUGAACCUGCGGAAGGAUCAUUCACAAUAAAGUGUUUUAUGGCACUUUUUAAAAAUUCAUAUCCACCUUGUGUGCAAUGUUAGAUCUCGUCAAUCUUGGCGAGAUUUUUAUACAUCAACUCAUUCUUUAACUAAUUUGUCUGAAAAAUAUUAUGAAUACUUAAUUCAAAAUACAACUUUCAACAACGGAUCUCUUGGCUCUC
rnacentral:misc_RNA from 1 species